rnacentral:rRNA from 1 species
UUAAAGUUGCUGUGAUAAAAACGCUCGUAGUUGAAUUAAAAUGUGAUUUUAUACAUUUUGAAGACUUUACAUUAAGUGAAGUUUCUAGAAAUGUUAAAUUAAAAUCAAAGAAGGAGACAAUUCAAGUAAUUGAGUUGUCAUUACUUUGAAUAAAAUAAGGUGUUUAAAGCAAAACAUUAUGUUAAUGAAUAUUCAAGCAUGGGACAAUGCUGAGGAGAUGUCAAUUAGACAUUUCGAGAGAAGGAUUAAAAGGAACAAUUGGGGUGAUUCAGAAAAUAACGGGAGAGGAGAAAAUCCUUGAUCGCUAU